GAUGAACGCUGGCGGCGUGCCUAAUACAUGCAAGUCGAGCGAACAGACGAGGAGCUUGCUCCUCUGACGUUAGCGGCGGACGGGUGAGUAACACGUGGAUAACCUACCUAUAAGACUGGGAUAACUUCGGGAAACCGGAGCUAAUACCGGAUAAUAUAUUGAACCGCAUGGUUCAAUAGUGAAAGACGGUUUUGCUGUCACUUAUAGAUGGAUCCGCGCCGCAUUAGCUAGUUGGUAAGGUAACGGCUUACCAAGGCGACGAUGCGUAGCCGACCUGAGAGGGUGAUCGGCCACACUGGAACUGAGACAGGGUCCAGACUCCUACGGGAGGCAGCAGUAGGGAAUCUUGCGCAAUGGGCGAAAGCCUGACGGAGCAACGCCGCGUGAGUGAUGAAGGUCUUCGGAUCGUAAAACUCUGUUAUUAGGGAAGAACAAAUGUGUAAGUAACUAUGCACGUCUUGACGGUACCUAAUCAGAAAGCCACGGCUAACUACGUG
rnacentral:rRNA from 1 species